GACGGAAGGUGCAAGCGUUGCUCGGAAUCACUGGGCGUAAAGGGUGCGUAGGCGGCCGCGCAAGUCUGGCGUGAAAGCCCCGGGCUCAGCCCGGGAAGGGCGCUCGAAACGGCGCGGCUCGAGUGCCGGAGGGGAGAGUGGAAUUCCUGGUGUAGCGGUGAAAUGCGUAGAUAUCAGGAGGAAUACCGGUGGCGAAAGCGACUCUCUGGACGGCAACUGACGCUGAGGCACGAAAGCGUGGGGAGCGAACAGG
rnacentral:rRNA from 1 species